AAGUAUAUGCAUAUUUUAUAUGUAGAAACUGCGAACGGCUCAUUAAAACAGUUAUAAUCUACUUGACAUUUUCUAUAUAAGGAUAACUACGGAAAAGCUGUAGCUAAUACUUGCUUUAGCACUCUUGAUUUAUUUCUUGAGUGUGUACUUGUUAAGCCUUAUAAGAAAAGAGUUAUUAACUUAAGGAAUUAUAACAAAGAAGUAACACGUAAUGGAUCAGUCCAUUUUUAGUGUGUAUCAAUCGAGUUUCUGACCUAUCAGCUUUUGAUGUUAGGGUAUUGGCCUAACAUGGCUAUGACGGGUAACGGGGAAUUAGAGUUCGAUUCCGGAGAGGGAGCCUGAGAAAUAGCUACCACAUCUAAGGAAGGCAGCAGGCGCGUAAAUUACCCAAUUCUAAAGAAGAGAGGUAGUGACAAGAAAUAACAAUACAAGGCCAAUCUGGCUUUGUAAUUGGAAUGAUGGGAAUUUAAAACCUUCCCAAAAUUCAAUUGGAGGGCAAGUCUGGUGCCAGCAGCCGCGGUAAUUCCAGCUCCAAUAGCGUAUAUUAAAAUUGUUGCAGUUAAAACGCUCGUAGUUGAAUUUCAAAGAACCUAUAUUUUAAUGAUGCUGUUAGCGAGAGCCACAAAAAAGCGAAUUCCAAUAUAUGUUUUCUGCUUUAUGUGCGCAUCCUCUACCUAUUAAGUGUUAAUUAAAAUUAAAGGGUUUCUUUUUAAAAUCUUCUAUAACUAAUAAAAAAAUAUGGAAGAUUUUGUUACUUUGAGUAAAUUAGAGUGUUCAAAGCAAACAGAUAUAUAGCAUUUGUGCGUUUGAAUACUACAGCAUGGAAUAACAAAAUUGAACAGGUCAAAACUAUGUUUCUUUUUUUUUAUUUUUGGCUUAGUUACGAUUAAUAGGAGUAGUUUGGGGACAUUUGUAUUCAGAUGUCAGAGGUGAAAUUCUAAGAUUUUCUGGAGACAAACAACUGCGAAGGCAUUUGUCUAAAAUACUUCCAUUAAUCAAGAACGAAAGUUAAGGGAGUGAAGACGAUCAGAUACCGUCGUAAUCUUAACCAUAAACUAUACCGACUAGGUUUUGGAUGAAAGUAAAACAAAUAAGGAUAGUCUCUUCGGGGAUAGUUCUUAGAUUUCUUCCUUCAGUACCUUAUGAGAAAUCAAAGUCUUUGGGUUCUGGGGCGAGUAUUCGCGCAAGCGAGAAAGUUAAAAGAAUUGACGGAAGGGCACCACCAGGCGUGGAGCUUGCGGCUUAAUUUGACUCAACACGGGAAAACUCACUAGUUUAAGACAAGAGUAGGAUUGACAGAUUAAUAGCUCUUUCUUGAUUUCUUGGAUGGUGAUGCAUGGCCGUUUUUAGUUCGUGAAUAUGAUUUGUCUGGUUAAUUCCGAUAACGAACGAGAUCUUAACCUGCUAAUUAGCAGUAAGUACAACAUAUUUCUAUGCUGAAUUUGUAUUUGGAUAAUUUAAAAGGUUUUUUUGCCGUGCAUAUAAUGAGUACGGAAAAAAUGCAUACUGCUACCUUGUACCUAAUAAUACUUGGCGCCUAUGCAUAUUUCCAACCCUCUAUUCCCUGUACCGCAUAAAACUGGAUUAUGAUGCCAUUUCACUUUUAUGUAGAAAUGUAUUUGCUUUUACAUAAAGCUUCUUAGAGGAACGAUGUGUGUCUAACACAAG
rnacentral:rRNA from 1 species